GACCCAGUACUGGUGGCUCCCACUAAAUGUAUAUUUUUCUGAGUAAUCUCAUCAUCUGUGUAUAAACUGUGUCUAUCAUCUCUGCAGACUAUAUGCCGCUGCAACCUCUUGAAGACGAGAAUGACACUGUUAUCAGUUUCUUAUAUCCUCUAGAACCCCCGGUGAAGCAGGGCAGAACAAGAAGAGGCAGGUUUCAAUCUCGAAGUGGACAGCUCUUUGCUGUGGCACUUUUUGAUUCGUGAUGGUCUCGGAUGAAAAUCUCGGGCUGAGAAGAAUGAACGAUAUAUGCAAAAGCUCACAAGGAGCAGGCUGAGAGAGAUAGAAUUGGAGACACUUUAGACUUUGAAAUUAAGAGGUGGUCCACUGGAAAACAGGGCAACUUGCGCGCUUUGUUAUCAACUUUACAAUAUGUGAG